rnacentral:lncRNA from 1 species
CUCAGAAGUCGAUUCAAGUAAACAUGCUAACUUUCAUGCUUAGACACUAACUCAGAAUGUUUGAUUCAAGUAAACAUUAGUCCAUCCAGUUAAGGCAUCCAACAGACCUCACAUAUGUUAAACCUUCUAAUGGUUUCAUUUCAAAACUCUUAAAAGAGCAUACUAAGAUUAAGUCAGUAGCGACGUCAACCAAAGAUCCCGAUUCAGAGAACAACAUAGAAGGAUUCACAUUAGACAAAAACCAUUCAACAUAUGCACUGGCUCGACUAAUGAACCAUGUCAAACAUAAUUACCAUGACAAAAUUUAAAUAAGAUUUGAAAUACAGUCGACUAAAACAAGUAUAAAGCUACAGUUUAUCGAUCAGAACAUAGAAGACUUCGAGCAACUCUACUGUUGGGAUAUUUGAACCAAUUGAUUCGAGGUCAGCCUUAGCACAACCAUUGACUAGUUGUGUGCUGAAUCCUCUAUCAGAACACCACAUCUAACAGUGAAAACCAUUCUAGGUCGACCAUACAUUUCCAGUAUAACAUCUACAGAACUAUUAAUUAACUCUCUGAACCUUAUGGCUCAAUUAAAUCAUCAUGAUUACCAGAUCAUAUUGCAAAGAAGAUCACCAAAAGAAACUGAACAAAUCAUUCAUUUUAAAGCGAUGACAUCUUGAUUCAGAAUAUACUUCGAGCCAAACAACUACUCAAAUUGAUUUCUACUAACUGAAAAUACUCAAACACAUACCACCAUUGUGAACAGGUCUAGUCAGCAAGAAGUUUGAUCAUAACACAAACAAACCACCCUAGAUGAAUCUCAUAGCUCAAAAAACACUGAAACAAAACAGAGUCGCAUAGAAAUAAAGAGAGAAAAAUGGAACAUGAAGUUGCAAAUCUUCUUUUAUAACAAUUAUAAACCCGAUAAUACAACUCUCGACUUCAAAUCCUAUCGAGGUCCAGCAACAACUCAGCAGAUCAACAAGAGAAAAUCAAACUCGAGCUUCAAUUCAUCUUUUCAUCUCUUUAGAACUCAAAACAGGGCUCAGACAGUAAAAAAAUAUCUAUCUUUCUCUUAAACUUUUUAUUAACUCGACCCAGAAGAAAGAAACAAACUCAGAAAACCAUAAAUUCUAGAAUCCUUUCUACUUUUCUUUUUCUGAAUUUUAUUUUAGCCCCCGUCCGUCCCCUCACAAAAUUGGAUAAAGCCUAUUUUGGAAAUCAAUCCUUGAUGAAUGUGGGGUUCGAAUUGAGUGAAAUUAAUCCAAGGCCUCACACUCAUCCAACAUUUCAUCUCCAGAAGCUUCCAACCGUAAGACAGGUCUAAAAACGAGCAUAUGAGAGGAGAGGGAAUCUUGGUGUCAGAAACCGUUAGCAACGGAAAGAGGAGAUAUAGAGGAAUGCGUGGGUUAGGGAUUGAUGCUCACUCGCCAUGGAUUUGGACAAAAUUUUUGGGGCUUGUUCGCUUGUUCUUCGGAGAAGAAGAACAAUACUCGUGGAGUUUAGGGAUUUGGUAUUUGGGGGGAUUGUGCGCGUGUGUAUUAGAGAACGGGGUGGGUCGUGUAUUUUGAGGGAGGAGGCAGUGGGCAUGGGUCGCCGGAUUUCAUAUAGGAUAAGGUUUAGGCUCAAAGAGAUCAAAUGAAGUUGGUCCAAUUUUCCUAAAUCCCUUUUGCUUUUUUCUUUUUUUCUUUUUCUACAAUUGAAAUUAAAAUCCUAAGUUAAGUUAUAAAACCAAAUUAAUUUACAAAAAUACUAAUAAAACUUAAAUAAUU